rnacentral:pre_miRNA from 1 species
UAGCUACUCUCUUCGAUCCAAAAUACUUGUCGCAACUUUGCUUAGAUAAGCGUGUAUAUAGACGCAUUUUAGUGUGUAGAUGCAUGUGUAUCUAGACAAAGUUGUGAUAAGUAAUUGGAUUGGAGUGAGUAUUGC